rnacentral:pre_miRNA from 1 species
AGUUCUUUCUUUUUAGCUUUAGUAUUAUAAUGUAUAUUAAGCUGCCAUGAAAGAACUAA